CCUACGGGCGGCAGCAGUGAGGAAUAUUGGUCAAUGGACGAGAGUCUGAACCAGCCAAGUAGCGUGAAGGAUGACUGCCCUAUGGGUUGUAAACUUCUUUUAUAUGGGAAUAAAAUGUUCCACGUGUGGGAUUUUGUAUGUACCAUAUGAAUAAGGAUCGGCUAACUCCGGGCCAGCAGCCGCGGUAAUACGGAGGAACAGAGCGUUAUCCGGAUUUAUUGGGGUUAAAGGGAGCGUAGGUGGCUUGUUAAGUCAGUUGUGAAAGUUUGCGGCUCAACCGUAAAAUUGCAUUUGAAACUGGCAGUCUUGAGUACAGUAGAGGUGGGCGGAAUGCGUGGUGUAGCGGUGAAAUGCUUAGAUAUCACGAAGAACUCCGAUUGCGAAGGCAGUUCACUGGACUGCAACUGACACUGAGGCUCGAAAGUGUGGGUAUCAAACAGGAUUAGAUACCCGGGUAGUC
rnacentral:rRNA from 1 species